CCUACGGGAGGCAGCAGUGGGGAAUAUUGGGCAAUGGGCGCAAGCCUGACCCAGCAACGUCGCGUGAAGGAAGAAGGCUUUCGGGUUGUAAACUCCUUUUGUCAGGGACGAAGCAAGCGAGGUACCUGACGAAUAAGCCACGGCUAACUACGUGCCAGCAGCCGCGGUCAUACGUAGGUGGCAAGCGUUAUCCGGAUUUACUGGGUGUAACGGGCGUGUAGGCGGGACUGCAAGUCAGAUGUGAAAACCACGGGCUCAAACUGUGGCCUGCAUUUGAAACUGGAGUUCUUGAGUACUGGAGAGGCAGACGGAAUGCCUAGUGUAGCGGUGAAAUGCGUAGAUAUUAGGAGGAACACCAGUGGCGAAGGCGGUCUGCUGGACAGCAACUGACGCUGAGGCGCGAAAGCGUGGGGAGCGAACAGGAUUAGAUACCCCUGUAGUC
rnacentral:rRNA from 1 species